GGAUGGACCUAUGGCGCAUUAGCUAGUUGGCGGGGCAACGGCCCACCAAGGCAACGAUGCGUAGCCGGCCUGAGAGGGCGGACGGCCACAUUGGGACUGAGACACGGCCCAGACUCCUACGGGAGGCAGCAGUAGGGAAUUUUCGGCAAUGGGGGAAACCCUGACCGAGCAACGCCGCGUGAGCGAAGAAGGCCUUCGGGUCGUAAAGCUCUGUUGUAAAGGAAGAACGUCGUACACAGGAAAUGGUGUGCGAGUGACGGUACUUUACCAGAAAGCCACGGCUAACUACGUGCCAGCAGCCGCGGUAAUACGGAAGGUCCGGGCGUUAUCCGGAUUUAUUGGGUUUAAAGGGAGCGUAGGCCGGAGAUUAAGCGUGUUGUGAAAUGUAGACGCUCAACGUCUGCACUGCAGCGCGAACUGGUUUCCUUGAGUACGCACAAAGUGGGCGGAAUUCGUGGUGUAGCGGUGAAAUGCUUAGAUAUCACGAAGAACUCCGAUUGCGAAGGCAGCUCACUGGAGCGCAACUGACGCUGAAGCUCGAAAGUGCGGGUAUCGAACAGGAUUAGAUACCCUGGUAGUCCGCACGGUAAACGAUGGAUGCCCGCUGUUGGUCUGAAAUAGGUCAGCGGCCAAGCGAAAGCAUUAAGCAUCCCACCUGGGGAGUACGCCGGCAACGGUGAAACUCAAAGGAAUUGACGGGGGCCCGCACAAGCGGAGGAACAUGUGGUUUUAAUUCGAUGAUACGCGAGGAACCUUACCCGGGCUUGAAUUGCAGAGGAAGGAUUUGGAGACAAUGACGCCCUUCGGGGCCUCUGUGAAGGUGCUGCAUGGUUGUCGUCAGCUCGUGCCGUGAGGUGUCGGCUUAAGUGCCAUAACGAGCGCAACCCCUCUCCUUAGUUGCCAUCAGGUUAAGCUGGGCACUCUGGGGACACUGCCACCGUAAGGUGUGAGGAAGGUGGGGAUGACGUCAAAUCAGCACGGCCCUUACGUCCGGGGCUACACACGUGUUACAAUGGCAGGUACAGAGAGAUGGUGUUCUGCAAAGCGCAUCAAAUCCUUAAAGCCUGUCUCAGUUCGGACUGGGGUCUGCAACCCGACCCCACGAAGCUGGAUUCGCUAGUAAUCGCGCAUCAGCCAUGGCGCGGUGAAUACGUUCCCGGGCCUUGUACUCACCGCCCGUCAAG
rnacentral:rRNA from 1 species